GAAACGUGGAGCUAGCGAGAGCGCUGGGACGCGCGCCACACCUCGGAAAGUGGCGUUCAGCGCGGAUCCAGCCACGGCAAACUCAGAAGAUCACAGGCUUGAAAAGUCAUGUGCGUUAAUUCCACACAGGACACUGGGAAGCGACGGUGCAGGCAUGACCUAAAAUCAUCCUUCACGUUCGUGACAAGCACUCGCCGGGCUCUGGUCGUCACCGCCUCUGGCCGUUUCACUGGCUGGUUGGCGGACCCGCGAUACCACACUCAGCGUGUAUCCUAGGGCAUGGCCCC